GAUAAGAGRAAUUUACCUUUUGAGUCAAAGGCUUAGAUGAGUAUGAAGACCAGAAGGCCCUUAGACCUUUAUAUAAUAGURUGAUUAUAUAAUUGGYUGUGUUGAUUAUAAUCAUGWUAUUGUAUUUUGUUGGGGUGACAUGAAGAUAWAAGUAACUCUUUAUAAUGGAAACAUUGAUUUAUGAUUGGUUGAUCCGUUAUUAACGAUUACAAGAUAAAGUUACCUUAGGGAUAACAGCGUAAUUUAUUUUGAGAGUUCAUAUCGACAAGAAAGAUAUG
rnacentral:rRNA from 1 species